AAUUUCUGUUGUCAGGGAAGAACAAGUAUGGGAGUAACUGCCGGUACCUUGACGGUACCUGACCAGAAAGCCACGGCUAAUUACGUGCCAGCAGCCGCGGUAAUACGUAGGUGGCCAGCGUUGUCCGGAAUUAUUGGGCGUAAAGCGCGCGCAGGCGGUUCCUUAAGUCUGAUGUGAAAGCCCCCGGCUCAACCGGGGAGGGUCAUUGGAAACUGGGGAACUUGAGUGCAGAAGAGGAGAGCGGAAUUCCACGUGUAGCGGUGAAAUGCGUAGAGAUGUGGAGGAACACCAGUGGCGAAGGCGGCUCUCUGGUCUGUAACUGACGGUGAGGCGCGAAAGCGUGGGGAGCGAACAGGAUUAGAUACCCUGGUAGUCCACGCCGUAAACGAUGAGUGCUAAGUGUUAGAGGGUUUCCGCCCUUUAGUGCUGCAGCAAACGCAUUAAGCACUCCGCCUGGGGAGUACGGCCGCAAGGCUGAAACUCAAAGGAAUUGACGGGGGCCCGCACAAGCGGUGGAGCAUGUGGUUUAAUUCGAAGCAACGCGAAGAACCUUACCAGGUCUUGACAUCCUCUGACAACCCUAGAGAUAGGGCGUUCCCCUUCGGGGGACAGAGUGACAGGUGGUGCAUGGUUGUCGUCAGCUCGUGUCGUGAGAUGUUGGGUUAAGUCCCGCAACGAGCGCAACCCUUGAUUUUAGUUGCCAGCAUUCAGUUGGGCACUCUAAGGUGACUGCCGGUGACAAACCGGAGGAAGGUGGGGAUGACGUCAAAUCAUCAUGCCCCUUAUGACCUGGGCUACACACGUGCUACAAUGGAUGGAACAAAGGGUCGCGAAGCCGCGAGGUCGAGCCAAUCCCAUAAAUCCAUUCUCAGUUCGGAUUGCAGGCUGCAACUCGCCUGCAUGAAGCCGGAAUCGCUAGUAAUCGCGGAUCAGCAUGCCGCGGUGAAUACGUUCCCGGGCCUUGUACACACCGCCCGUCACACCACGAGAGUUUGUAACACCCGAAGUCGGUGGGGUAACCUUUAUGGAGCCAG
rnacentral:rRNA from 1 species